GUUAUCAAGAAAGGUGGAGGGAUUAGACCCGCUGAAGCCUUAGCAACCCUUUAUUUAUAGAGUAGGUGCUAAAUUCUACUUGAUUUUUGAUUCAU
rnacentral:ncRNA from 1 species